rnacentral:rRNA from 1 species
UAUUGGAGGUAGAGCACUGUUUGGACGAGGGGCCCCUCUCGGGUUACCGAAUUCAGACAAACUCCGAAUGCCAAUUAAUUUAACUUGGGAGUCAGAACAUGGGUGAUAAGGUCCAUGUUCGAAAGGGAAACAGCCCAGACCACCAGCUAAGGUCCCAAAAUAUAUGUUAAGUGGAAAAGGAUGUGGCGUUGCCCAGACAACUAGGAUGUUGGCUUAGAAGCAGCCAUCAUUUAAAGAGUGCGUAAUAGCUCACUAGUCGAGUGACACUGCGCCGAAAAUGUACCGGGGCUAAACAUAUUACCGAAGCUGUGGAUUGUCCUUUGGACAAUGGUAGGAGAGCGUUCUAAGGGCGUUGAAGCAUGAUCGUAAGGACAUGUGGAGCGCUUAGAAGUGAGAAUGCCGGUGUGAGUAGUGAAAGACGGGUGAGAAUCCCGUCCACCGAUUGACUAAGGUUUCCAGAGGAAGGCUCGUCCGCUCUGGGUUAGUCGGGUCCUAAGCUGAGGCCGACAGGCGUAGGCGAUGGAUAACAGGUUGAUAUUCCUGUACCACCUAUAAUCGUUUUAAUCGAUGGGGGGACGCAGUAGGAUAGGCGAAGCGUGCGAUUGGAUUGCACGUCUAAGCAGUAAGGCUGAGUAUUAGGCAAAUCCGGUACUCGUUAAGGCUGAGCUGUGAUGGGGAGAAGACAUUGUGUCUUCGAGUCGUUGAUUUCACACUGCCGAGAAAAGCCUCUAGAUAGAAAAUAGGUGCCCGUACCGCAAACCGACACAGGUAGUCAAGAUGAGAAUUCUAAGGUGAGCGAGCGAACUCUCGUUAAGGAACUCGGCAAAAUGACCCCGUAACUUCGGGAGAAGGGGUGCUCUUUAGGGUUAACGCCCAGAAGAGCCGCAGUGAAUAGGCCCAAGCGACUGUUUAUCAAAAACACAGGUCUCUGCUAAACCGUAAGGUGAUGUAUAGGGGCUGACGCCUGCCCGGUGCUGGAAGGUUAAGAGGAGUGGUUAGCUUCUGCGAAGCUACGAAUCGAAGCCCCAGUAAACGGCGGCCGUAACUAUAACGGUCCUAAGGUAGCGAAAUUCCUUGUCGGGUAAGUUCCGACCCGCACGAAAGGCGUAACGAUUUGGGCACUGUCUCAACGAGAGACUCGGUGAAAUCAUAGUACCUGUGAAGAUGCAGGUUACCCGCGACAGGACGGAAAGACCCCGUGGAGCUUUACUGUAGCCUGAUAUUGAAAUUCGGCACAGCUUGUACAGGAUAGGUAGGAGCCUUUGAAACGUGAGCGCUAGCUUACGUGGAGGCGCUGGUGGGAUACUACCCUAGCUGUGUUGGCUUUCUAACCCGCACCACUUAUCGUGGUGGGAGACAGUGUCAGGCGGGCAGUUUGACUGGGGCGGUCGCC